rnacentral:rRNA from 1 species
AUACGAACUGUGCAAACGUUAUUCGGAAUCACUGGGCUUAAAGGGUGCGUAGGCGGACUUGAAGGUCCGAUGUGAAAUCCCACGGCUCAACCGUGGAAUUGCGUCGGAAACCACAAGUCUUGAGGGAGUCAGAGGUAAGCGGAACUGAUGGUGGAGCGGUGAAAUGCGUUGAUAUCAUCAGGAACACCGGUGGCGAAAGCGGCUUACUGGGACUUUUCUGACGCUGAGGCACGAAAGCUAGGGGAGCGAACGGGAUUAGAAACCCCAGUAGUCC